rnacentral:misc_RNA from 1 species
GGUUACAAGGCCUACGGUUCUGAUUAUGGAUCAAAACACAGGUCUUGACAGGAUAGGAUGGAAAUUCCUACAUUUUACCAUCUUGACCUACCGUCAAUAAGGAUAAAAUUUCUCCAGUUAAGCAUUCUCUAUGAUUAGUUUGUCAGAAACUCUAGAAGGUUUAGCUGUAUCCUCUUAAUAAAUAUUUAAAUAAUCGGUUACACUAACAGAGAAUGUUUGGUAUUCUGAUUUGCCACCAUUGGGACA